rnacentral:rRNA from 1 species
UACGUAGGGUGCGAGCGUUAAUCGGAAUUACUGGGCGUAAAGUGUGCGCAGGCGGCAGAGCAAGUCGAGUGUGAAAGCCCCCGGGCUUAACUUGGGAAUUGCGCUCGAAACUACUUUGCUGGAGUGUGGCAGAGGAAGGUGAAUCACGUGUGAGUACGGCUGGAAUGAACGUAGAGGAAUGUGGAGAAUGACCGGAAAGGCACCAAGUCGGCGAA